rnacentral:rRNA from 1 species
UUUAAUAUUUAAAGUUUGGCCUGCUCAAUGAAAAUUUAAAUGGCCGCAGUAUUUUGACUGUGCAAAGGUAGCAUAAUCAUUAGUUUCUUAAUUAGGAACUUGUAUGAAUGGUCGGAUGAGAAAUGAACUGUCUCUGUAUAAUUUGAUUAGAAUUUUAUUUUUAAGUUAAAAAGCUUAAAUUUUUAUUAAAGACGAGAAGACCCUAUAGAGUUUAAUUUUUUAAAAUAUUUGAUUUAUUAAGGAUUUAUUUUUCGUUUAUUUUAAAAAAUUUUGUUGGGGUGACAGGAAAAAUUGUUUAACUUUUUUUUUUAAUUAACAUUGAUUUAUGAUUUGUUGAUCCAAUAUUUUUGAUUAUAAGAUUAAAUUACCUUAGGGAUAACAGCGUAAUUUUUUUUGAGAGUUCUUAUCGAAAGAAAAGUUUGCGACCUCGAUGUUGGAUUAAAAUUUAGGGUUGGCGUAGAAGUUAACCUUUUAAGUCUGUUCGACUUUUAAAAUUUUACAUGAUCUGAGUUUAAACCGGUGUGAGCCAGGUUGGUUUCUAUCUWAAUUUAAAUAAAAUAUUUUAGUACGAAAGGACCAAUUAUUUAUAUAAUAUAUUAUUUUUUGAAUUAAAUUGUUACUUUGGCAGAUUAGUGCAUUAAAUUUAGAAUUUAAGUAUGUAUAUUUAUACAGGUAAUACUUGAUUUUAUUUGAUUUUCUUUUAUUAUUGGUUAGGGGAUUAAUUUUAGUAGUAUGUGUUUUGGUAGG